ensembl:lncRNA
GUUUUAUAAGCAUUACACAUUCACUGCUGACUGAGCAGCAGGCAGGACACAGCCAGGGGAGACAAAAACAACAGAAGGAAACAAAACUGUUUUGCUGUUCUCUUUUCACAGAAGAAUAUUCAUCCUUUCUAGAAUGGAAUAUUUGAGUCUUCAUUGUUUGGAUAUAAAGAAGCUGAAAUCAAAAGGAGUAAUACUUGAUCUUUCAUCAUUUGAUGUCAAAGACUGCUAUCAAACAUCAGCAUAGUACUUAUGGUAAAAGGACAUAAAUCAGGAUGGUGGAGUGGAACAAGAAUGGCAGAGCACAGACAGAUAAAACUGUGGAUACAAUAUUAAUAAAAAUACCAAGAAAGCACAAAAAGAAAAACUGAAGGUGAUGGAUUAGAAGGAGUAAAGUUAGGAAGGAAAAAGGAAAGGGACUAUUUUUUAUCACUCAUCAAUCUGUAACCAUGUGGAUGGACAAACAGCAAUUUAGCUCUUUCCUGUAGGUCUCUUCUAACUUGGGAUAUUAUAUAUAUACAUAUAUAUAUGUACAUAUAUAAAAUAUGAAGUAAUUAUGGAUAUCCUGCAUGUUACUCAACUCUAGAAAGAAAUCAAUCUAGAAGAUAAAAGCUUUUCUAGUAGAAGGCAUCUGUCAAUUACCAGCACUAGCUGUGUCACUGAAGAUUCACAGAUUUUGCUAAAUUUUUGAACUGUUCUUUGUAAUAGUACCUAGAGGGCUUGUUGGGUUAAUUUAAUUUAAAAAAAAAUUGUAUCGAUAGACGUCCAAAACCCAACAAGAAAUUCUGAAAAUCUUGCUAAGUCAGUGAGAAAAUGCAGCUGAAGUGCUCAACCAAAGAGUUCAACAGGACUCCAGGAACUGCAGGGUUGGGGGAGAUGCUCUAAUACCUUAGAACAGAAGAGCCAGAAAUGUAUGGAAAAUGAUACAUUCUUGAAAUCAAUCGGUAAGCAACUUUUUCCUCUUCUUUUAAUAGAACGGCAAACUCUCUGACCGCUGCCUGUCAAAAAACAAUAACCCAGUGACAGCCAUCAGCACCUACUCAUUGAAAAAUAUGCCCGUCUCUACUCUGUUCUAAUAAAAUGCGGAUUGCAUCAAAAAGGGAAUAUUCUUCAGGGUGUUGCUUACCCAGUGUUGUCUGUAUAUGACAUCAGUAUAUAUAUUUUUGAGAUACUACUAUCUCGUACUUCAAGGCAUACCUAUUUUCUCUAAUUGCCAGAGGCUAAGGGGAGGUGCACUAAAGAAUAAAGAAGGUUAUUGUGACAGAUGAAACAUAAUUCACAAUGAGUACUCUUUUCAUCCAGCCUUAAGUAGCAGAGGAUUACUCCGAGCUGAAUUUUAGGGGAGUAUGUAUGAUCUGAUUUAAUAAUAUGAGGACAGGCCACAAGCUGGAAGGCAAUAUAAACCAAUUAUGCUUUUGCUGAAUGUUUGGGGGGUUUUGUUGUUGUUUUUGGUGGUUUUUUUUCCCUCUUCUUUUCUGGAAGGUGAAGAAAUGUUAACGUGAAGAGUGUCUGAAGAAACACGAGGAAAAGUAAGAAGUGCCGAGAAAUAAAAGUUGGGAUUUUCUGGAAUGGAUAUUGAUAAAUGAUUAUUCUAUAUUUCUGCUUCAUGACACUUAAAUGAAAUAAGACCAUGCAAUUUCUUCAGUAAACAUGCGCUGUGAAAACAUGAGUCUCCUGCCCUUGGAAGAAGAAAGUGGGAAGCAGCAAAAAGAGACUGUGUGUAGGCAGAGGAGAAGCAGACAAAAUGAGUCAGGCUGCCAGACUGCCAAGACCUUCUUGGAACAAAUGAUGAGGAAACCUGCACUAAGAACAGUAGAAGAAAGCUAUUAGAAGGUUAAAACACACCCAGAACCUAAGUAUUAUGAAUUUAUGGCAAUUGGUGCAACUCUGAAGUGAGAAAGGUGCUGCUGACAGGCUAUUAUAGAGGGCAAACUGGGGCAGAAGACAAAGAAAGGUCUCUUGAAACAUGGUAUUAAAAAGGAGCAGGCACUGAAGUUGGUGUAGGUGCAGAUUUUAAAACAUCCAAAUUUACAGUGGGUUGCCAGUGGCCUAUGUUACCAUUUGGUGAUCUCCAACAAAGACCAAGAACAAAGACAAGAGGGUACAAAUACAACCAGUGCAAGCCAAACCCAGAAGAAAACGGGGGGUGGCCACCUCUCACAGAGGUGGAAUCAUAUUGACCAGCAUCCUGCCUCUUCAAGUAGAAGCACUUUGCACACUUACCUCUAUAUAUACAUAUAAGAUAAUAUAUACAUAAAAGAUUAAGGGUAUGUCUGUCAUUUAACUAGCUAUACAACCUGCUGAAACAAAGAUAUUCAAGCUGCAAAACCCAAGGAUGUAAGUCCAAAUUGUGGUUAUGGUCAGAAAGCAACCUAGUCCACAAAUUACUUCAUGAAAAAGAGCUGCUAAAACUGAACUAAGUUU